AGCCUGAGUCCUAUCACCUCACUCUCCUCCCCGACAGCAUGAGCUUCACCACUGGCUCCACCUUCUCCACCAACUACCGGUCCCUGGGCUCCAUCCAGGAGCCCAGCUACGGCGCCCAGCUGGUCAGCAAUGUAACCAGUGUCUAUAUAGGUGCCAGGGGCUCUGGUUCCCAGAUCUCCGUGUCCCACUCCACCAGCUUCUGAGGCGGAAUGGGGUCCAGGGUCCUAGCCACAAGGAUAGCCAGGGGUCUGACAGGAAUGGGAGGCAUCCAGAACAAGGAGAUCAUGCGAAUCCUGAAUGACCACCUGGCCUCCUAUCUGGACAGAGUAAGGAGUCUGGAGACCAAGAACCAGAAGCUGGAGAGCAAAAUCCGGGAGCACCUGGAGAAGAAAGGACCCUAGGUCAGAGACUGGAGCCAUUACUUCAAGACCAUCAGCGAUCUGAGGACUCAGAUCUUCGCAAAUACUGUGGACAAUGCCUGCAUCAUUCUGCAGAUCGACAAUGCCCGUCUUGCUGCUGAUGACUUUAGAGUCAAGGAUGAGACAGAGCUGGCCAUGUGCUGGUUGGUAGAAAGUGACAUCCAUGGGCUCUGCAAGGUCACUGAUGACACCAAUGUCACUCAGCUGCAGCUGGAGACAGAGAUCGAGGCUCUCAAGGAGGAGCUGCUCACCAGGAAAAGGAAGUAAAAGGCCUACAAGCCCAGAUUGCCAGCUCUGGGUUGACUGUGGAGGUAGAUGCCCCCAAAUCUCAGAACCUUGCCAAGAUCAUGGCAGACAUCCAAGCCCAAUAUGACUAACUUGCUCGGAAGAACCAAGAGGAACUGGACAAGUACUGGUCUCAGCAGAUUGAGGAGAACACCACAGUGCUCACCACACAGUCCGCCAAGCUUGGAGCUGCUGAUAUGAGUCCAGUCCUUGGAGAGUGACCUGGACUCCAUGAGUAAUCUGAAGGCCAACUUGGAGAAAAGUCUGAGGGAGGUGGAGGCCUACUACACCUGCAGAUGGAGCAGCUCAAUGGGAUCCUGCUGCACCUGGAGUCAGAGCUGGCACAGAGGGACAGCGCCAGGCCCAGGAGUAUGAGGCCCUGCUGAACAUCAAAGUCAAGCUGGAGGCUGAGAUCACCACCUACCACCACCUGCUGGAAGAUAGUGAGGACUUCGAUCUUGGUGAUGCCCUGGGUAGUGCAACUCCAUGCAAACCAUGCAAAAGACCACCACCCGCCAGAUAGUGGAUGCCAAAGUGGUGUCUGAGACCAAUGACACCAAAGCGUUAAUGUCUAAGACAUUAAGCCAGCAGAAGCAGGGGAUCUUUUGGGGAGCAGGAGGCCAAUAA